rnacentral:lncRNA from 1 species
AAGUGCAGGGUGCCAAGCGGAGAGCCUGGAUCAUAUUUCACAUGUGCCGGUCCCAAAGGAAUUCCUUAACUCUCCCUUCCUGGAACCGAAAUGCUUCCAAAGGCAGAGAGCUCCUAUAUAUAUUUCUCUGUUUUCCCCGGAGGACCGUGCAUGAAAGGCGCCUUUUUGGCGCGUGUGUCUCUGACCCUGUGGAUCUUCUGGACAAUUCCCGGAAUUUCUUGCAGGGCAGCACUUCCCCUUAAGUCGUCUCUUUCUCGUUUGGAUAGUCAGUAUUUGUAUAGUCACUAUUCUCUUUUGGUUAGCCGUCUAAUUUUAUACUGCCAGUCAAGCUCUACUCCCUUCCCCCUAGAGUUUGAAUUUAUUUUUUUUCAAACGCUACACAAACCCAAAUAAACUCAACCAAAGCGGACUUUACCUACCUUCCUACCUACCUACCAAGAAAAUAUCCCACAAAGGAGAGAACGGAGAAGCUUGCAAUACAGGAAGAAAAAAAAAGAAUUACAGAAUGGAAGGGAUGUGUGCUCUAAAAAUGCAGUGCUGCUGCUACCUACCAUAAUGUGUUUGUUGCAAGAUCCACAAGAACGUGGAUGCCAAGAAUCCACAAAAAAAAACAGAUGCAACCGUUGAUGAGGCCAUAAACAGAAACAAUGUGCUAGCAGAAUGUGCUAAUUAGUAAAUAUCUUCUGCCCUGAGAAGAGAGAUGACACAGCAAGAAGAAGGAUGCUAAGUCAUACUCAGUUAAGAUUCUGCUGCUAGGAGCCAGAGUCAUUCUUUCCUCAUUCCUGUGACCAUCUGCGAGAAACCAGAACUGUGUCUCCCUCCUGCACGAAUCACAGAGGGCAUCCCCAUACAGUAGCCUGGAGUGAUUCCCGCCCCACCCCCCACCCCCAUCCCCACACCGCCACCCUCACUUUUUUAAAAAGGGAAUCCAGGAAUCGUCCUGCUUCCUGUAAGGAUCAGAAAGAAGGGGCAAAAUAGCACUGCAGGUGGAACUCUGAUCCCUUCCCAGGCUCACAGAAGCUUUCAGGUAACUGGGGCUUCUCGGGAAAUUAAAAGAAAAUUAAUAAAAUGAACCACACUUACCACCUUUUACUUGUGACUAUCUCAUUUAAUUCUCCACUGAACUGCAUCGGUUUGGUACUUCUAUUCCCCUCAUGUUACAUAAAAGGAAUGCUAGGCA